rnacentral:rRNA from 1 species
GUNGUUAGCCGUGGCUUUCUGGUUGGAUACCGUCACGCCGACAACAGUUACUCUGCCGACCAUUCUUCUCCAACAACAGAGUUUUACGACCCGAAAGCCUUCUUCACUCACGCGGCGUUGCUCCAUCAGACUUGCGUCCAUUGUGGAAGAUUCCCUACUGCUGCCUCCCGUAGGAGUAGGGGGAAUCUUCCACAAUGGACGCANGUCUGAUGGAGCAACGCCGCGUGAGUGAAGAAGGCUUUCGGGUCGUAAAACUCUGUUGUUGGAGAAGAAUGGUCGGCAGAGUAACUGUUGUCGGCNNGACGGUNUCCAACCAGAAAGCCACGGNUAACUACNUGCCAGCAGCCGNGGUAAUACA